AUACGUAGGGGGCGAGCGUUGUCCGGAAUGAUUGGGCGUAAAGGGCGCGUAGGCGGCCGCUUAAGUCUGGAGUGAAAGUCCUGUUUUCAAGAUGGGAAUUGCUUUGGAUACUGGGGGGCUUGAGUGCAGGAGAGGUUAUCGGAAUUCCAGGUGGAGCGGUGAAAUGCGUAGGGAUCGGGAGGAACACCAGUGGCGAAGGCGGGUAACUGGACUGCAACUGACGCUGAGGCGCGAAAGUGUGGGGAGCAAACAGGAUUAGAUACCCUGGUAGUCCACACUGUAAACGAUGAAUGCUAGGUGUAAGAGGUAUCGACCCCUUUUGUGCCGGAGUCAACACAAUAAGCAUUCCGCCUGGGGAGUACGGCCGCAAGGUUGAAACUCAAAUGAAUUGACGGGG
rnacentral:rRNA from 1 species